rnacentral:lncRNA from 1 species
GGUUGGUACAUGUAUGUUUAUGUCUUGUUCAUGAUGUUAUGAAAGUUUUCGCUUAUGUAGAGAUCCCUAUAUAUUGAGUAUAACAUCUUACAUAAACAUACAAUAUCUUUAAUAUCCUUUGAUGAAUCAUGGUCAGGAGUGUUGGGUGUAUCUGAUGAUCUGUUAUAAACACUUGUGGUUGAAAAUGUCUGAUUCAAAUCUUGGUAGUAUUGAACAUUGUUUUUCAGAGGAUUAACUUGAGCCAUAUGCAAGCCAUUCUUCUUUUUCUGUGUCUUGAACUUGAUGUUGGAUAUAUCUUGAGUGUUUAAAGGUAUCCCAAGUAUAGCAAAACCAAUGGAUUGCUGGUUUGUUCUAGGGAAAGUAUCAAUUCUUUUGAAAAUUCGACUGUUGAAUUUAGGGCAUGGCAGUAAGAUUUUACUUUUCAAACACAUUCGACAAACUGUCAUUUCAGCAUAUCGAAAAAUACACAUCAUAGACAUUCCUUUAACCAGCAAGGGGAAUAUACAGUAAACAAUAUUGUUUUGGAAAUAAACCAGGGGAAAUCAUAGAGAAUAAACUCAUGGGCGCAGCCAUUUUAAAUAUAG